rnacentral:rRNA from 1 species
UACGGAGGGUGCGAGCGUUGUCCGGAAUCACUGGGCGUAAAGGGCGCGUAGGCGGCCUGAUAAGUAGGGGGUGAAAUCCUGCGGCUUAACCGCAGGGCUGCCUUCUAAACUGUCAGGCUCGAGCACAGUAGAGGCAGGUGGAAUUCCCGUGUAGCGGUGGAAUGCGUAGAGAUCGGGAAGAACAUCAGUGGCGAAGGCGGCCUGCUGGGCUGUUGCUGACGCUGAGGCGCGA